UAGACCUACGGGGGGCAGCAGUGGGGAAUAUUGCACAAUGGGGGAAACCCUGAUGCAGCGACGCCGCGUGAGCGAUGAAGUAUUUCGGUAUGUAAAGCUCUAUCAGCAGGGAAGAAAAUGACGGUACCUGACUAAGAAGCCCCGGCUAACUACGUGCCAGCAGCCGCGGUAAUACGUAGGGGGCAAGCGUUAUCCGGAUUUACUGGGUGUAAAGGGAGCGUAGACGGCGGCGCAAGUCUGGAGUGAAAUCCCGGGGCUCAACCCCGGAACUGCUUUGGAAACUGCGCGGCUCGAGUGCAGGAGGG
rnacentral:rRNA from 1 species